AAGUAACGCUAGCUAUAUGCUUAACACAUGCAAGUCGAACGUUGUUUUCGGGCGCGCUUGUCUCGCCUUGAGAACAAAGUGGCGAACGGGUGAGUAACACGUGAGCAACCUGCCCCUGACUCUGGGAUAAGCGCUGGAAACGGUGUCUAAUACUGGAUAUGUGAUGUGACCGCAUGGUCUGCGUCUGGAAAGAUUUUCGGUUGGGGAUGGGCUCGCGGCCUAUCAGCUUGUUGGUGAGGUAAUGGCUCACCAAGGCGUCGACGGGUAGCCGGCCUGAGAGGGUGACCGGCCACACUGGGACUGAGACACGGCCCAGACUCCUACGGGAGGCAGCAGUGGGGAAUAUUGCACAAUGGGCGGAAGCCUGAUGCAGCAACGCCGCGUGGGGGAUGACGGCCUUCGGGUUGUAAACCUCUUUUAGCAGGGAAGAAGCGUGAGUGACGGUACCUGCAGAAAAAGCGCCGGCUAACUACGUGCCAGCAGCCGCAGUAAUAC
rnacentral:rRNA from 1 species